rnacentral:rRNA from 1 species
UACCAGCACCCCGAGUGGUCGGGACGUUUAUUGGGCCUAAAGCAUCCGUAGCCGGUUCUGCAAGUCUUCCGUUAAAUCCACCUGCUUAACAGAUGGGCCGCGGAAGAUACUAUAGAGCUAGGAGGCGGGAGAGGCAAGCGGUACUCGAUGGGUAGGGGUAAAAUCCGUUGAUCCAUUGAAGACCACCAGUGGCGAAGGCGGCUUGCCAGAACGCGCUCGACGGUGAGGGAUGAAAGCUGGGGGAGCAAACAGG